rnacentral:rRNA from 1 species
CUCGGAAUCUAAGCAGGCUCAGGCCUGGUUGGUACUUGGAUGGGAGACCGCCUGGGAAUACCAGGUGCCGUAGGCUU